ncrna:unclassified sequences S4-Flavobacteria ribosomal protein leader
GAGUAUCGGAGGAGGAAGCCUUAAUUCAUAUUC